CUUCCUCACCAUCAUAAACCUGAUAUAAUCAAACAAUGAAAAAUUAAAAUUCAAAAUUAUAGAGUUAAAUAGUAUAUAAAAUUGUAAAUUCUCACCCUCGUGUUUCAUCGGUUUCUUUGUCGAUUUUGUUCAUGGCAUCCCAAACCGUCAUCCGCGGCAACCAAUGAAAAGGGUACUUGUAGCGGGCAACAUCCAAUAUCAAAAGCAUGUCUCUGCCCUUGUGAUAUGCAGCCAUUGGUGAAAAA